rnacentral:rRNA from 1 species
GAUGAACGCUAGCUACAGGCUUAACACAUGCAAGUCGAGGGGCAGCAUUUCAGUUUGCUUGCAAACUGGAGAUGGCGACCGGCGCACGGGUGAGUAACACGUAUCCAACCUGCCGAUAACUCGGGGAUAGCCUUUCGAAAGAAAGAUUAAUACCCGAUGGUAUAAUCAGACCGCAUGGUCUUGUUAUUAAAGAAUUUCGGUUAUCGAUGGGGAUGCGUUCCAUUAGGCAGUUGGUGAGGUAACGGCUCACCAAACCUUCGAUGGAUAGGGGUUCUGAGAGGAAGGUCCCCCACAUUGGAACUGAGACACGGUCCAAACUCCUACGGGAGGCAGCAGUGAGGAAUAUUGGUCAAUGGGCGCAGGCCUGAACCAGCCAAGUAGCGUGAAGGAUGACUGCCCUAUGGGUUGUAAACUUCUUUUAUAUGGGAAUAAAGUUCUCCACGUGUGGAAUUUUGUAUGUACCAUAUGAAUAAGGAUCGGCUAACUCCGUGCCAGCAGCCGCGGUAAUACGGAGGAUCCGAGCGUUAUCCGGAUUUAUUGGGUUUAAAGGGAGCGUAGGUGGACAGUUAAGUCAGUUGUGAAAGUUUGCGGCUCAACCGUAAAAUUGCAGUUGAUACUGGCUGUCUUGAGUACAGUAGAGGUGGGCGGAAUUCGUGGUGUAGCGGUGAAAUGCUUAGAUAUCACGAAGAACUCCGAUUGCGAAGGCAGCUCACUGGACUGCAACUGACACUGAUGCUCGAAAGUGUGGGUAUCAAACAGGAUUAGAUACCCUGGUAGUCCACACAGUAAACGAUGAAUACUCGCUGUUUGCGAUAUACAGUAAGCGGCCAAGCGAAAGCAUUAAGUAUUCCACCUGGGGAGUACGCCGGCAACGGUGAAACUCAAAGGAAUUGACGGGGGCCCGCACAAGCGGAGGAACAUGUGGUUUAAUUCGAUGAUACGCGAGGAACCUUACCCGGGCUUAAAUUGCAUUUGAAUAUAUUGGAAACAGUAUAGCCGUAAGGCAAAUGUGAAGGUGCUGCAUGGUUGUCGUCAGCUCGUGCCGUGAGGUGUCGGCUUAAGUGCCAUAACGAGCGCAACCCUUAUCUUUAGUUACUAACAGGUCAUGCUGAGGACUCUAGAGAGACUGCCGUCGUAAGAUGUGAGGAAGGUGGGGAUGACGUCAAAUCAGCACGGCCCUUACGUCCGGGGCUACACACGUGUUACAAUGGGGGGUACAGAAGGCAGCUACCUGGUGACAGGAUGCUAAUCCCAAAAGCCUCUCUCAGUUCGGAUCGAAGUCUGCAACCCGACUUCGUGAAGCUGGAUUCGCUAGUAAUCGCGCAUCAGCCAUGGCGCGGUGAAUACGUUCCCGGGCCU